rnacentral:rRNA from 1 species
AUUGAACGCUGGCGGCAUGCUUUACACAUGCAAGUCGAGCGGUAACAGGGAGCUUGCUCCGCUGACGAGUGGCGAACGGGUGAGUAAUGCGUCGGAACGUGCCGAGUAGUGGGGGAUAACGCAGCGAAAGUUGUGCUAAUACCGCAUACGUACUGAGGUAGAAAGUGGGGGACCUUCGGGCCUCACGCUAUUCGAGCGGCCGACGUCUGAUUAGCUAGUAGGUGAGGUAAAGGCUCACCUAGGCGACGAUCAGUAGCGGGUCUGAGAGGAUGGUCCGCAACACUGGGACUGAGACACGGCCCAGACUCCUACGGGAGGCAGCAGUGGGGAAUUUUGGACAAUGGGCGAAAGCCUGAUUCAGCCAUGCCGCGUGUCUGAAGAAGGCCUUCGUGUUGUAAAGGACUUUUGUCGGGGAGGAAAUCCCCAGCGCUAAUACCGCUGGGGGAUGACAGUACCUGAAGAAUAAGCACCGGCUAACUACGUGCCAGCCGCCGCGGUAAAAC